AAAACAAUUGGUAACGUGCUUCUUUAUUUUGUCUAUUGUUGAAGACUGAAUAUAGCUCCUAGAUUUCGUUUGUUGUUUGGUUGCUUACUUAUUGCCAUACAUUUACAUGCAUGUAAUUUAUUAUUAUGAAUAGGAAUGACAUACUAUUAUGUGGAUCAAUAGAUUAACUUUUUAUCAAGAUAAACAUUAAUAUGCAUGUUUUCUGGUUGAAGAAAUGUAUAUGAAUAGUAUGUAUAAUGUUUGAAAAUAUAGUUGUCAUAAGAACCCUACAAAAACAGGGGUGGAUCCAGCCAUUUUAAAAAGGGGGGGUUCCCAACCCAGAGUCAAGGGGGGGUUCCAGCUAUAUGCUCCCAUUCAAAUGCAUUGAUCGGCCAAAAAAAAGGGGGGUUCCAACCCCCGGAACCCCCCUCUGGAUCCGCGCCUGAAAAACAUGUUUAUGUAUAAGUGUAAAUCAAGCCCAUUAAUUUAUCAUUUAUUGAUAUUGAACAUGGAUUAAAGACGACCACAAUCAACAUCAAUCGGACGUCGUUUUGGGCAAUACAUUACGUUCGAUUAGAGUAUAAAAAUAUUGGACGUCGAUUUGAGAAUGUGACGUCAGAUUUGGACGUCGAUUUGAGAAACGGACGUCGAUUUGAGGAACGGACGUCGAUUAGAGACCGGACGUCGAUCUGAGUCUAACAUAUAUAUUUCAGCUUAAUAAAAAUAUUUUCAUAAUGGUACUUUGUCAUCAUUUUUAAAACUAAGUUCCAAACAUUAUUGCUCAGUUGAUAUACAUGUAUGUCCUUCUGAUGCGGUACGAGCACAGGCACUUGUUUCUAUCCAAAAUAG
rnacentral:lncRNA from 1 species